AAUAUUGGACAAUGGGCGAAAGCCUGAUCCAGCCAUGCCGCGUGUGUGAAGAAGGUCUACGGAUAGUCCAGCACUUUAAGUUGGGAGGAAGGGGUUGAAGCUAAUACCUUCAAUCUUUGACGUUACCGACAGAAUAAGCACCGGCUAACUUCGUGCCAGCAGCCGCGGUAAUACGAAGGGUGCAAGCGUUAAUCGGAAUUACUGGGCGUAAAGCGCGCGUAGGUGGUUUGUUAAGUUGGAAGUGAAAGCCCCGGGCUCAACCUGGGAACUGCUUUCAAAACUGGCAAGCUAGAGUAUGGCAGAGGGUGGUGGAAUUUCCUGUGUAGCGGUGAAAUGCGUAGAUAUAGGAAGGAACAUCAGUGGCGAAGGCGACUACCUGGACUGAUACUGACACUGAGGUGCGAAAGCGUGGGGAGCAAACAGG
rnacentral:rRNA from 1 species